rnacentral:rRNA from 1 species
CCCUUAGAUGUCCUGGGCCGCACGCGUGCUACACUGAUGCAUAUAGCGAGUACUUUCCAGCUCCGCGAGGCAGCUGGUAAUCAGCAAUAUGCAUCGUGCUGGGGAUAGAUCUUUGGAGUUAUAGAUCUUGAACGAGGAAUUCCUAGUAAGCGCAAGUCAUUAGCUUGCGCUGAUUAAGUCCCUGCCCUUUGUACACACCGCCCGUCGCUCCUACCGAUUUCGAGUGAUUCGGUGAACCUUUUGGACAGCGUCUGUCCUCGUGUCAGAUGCUGAAAGUCAAGUAAACCAUAUCACUUAGAGGAAGGAGAAGUCGUAACA